ACUCCUACGGGAGGCAGCAGUGGGGAAUAUUGGACAAUGGGCGAAAGCCUGAUCCAGCAAUGCCGCGUGUGUGAAGAAGGCCUUCGGGUUGUAAAGCACUUUUGUUAGGGAGGAAAGUCUAGGGGCUAAUACCUUUUAGAUCUGACGUUACCUAAAGAAUCAGCACCGGCUAACUCUGUGCCAGCAGCCGCGGUAAUAC
rnacentral:rRNA from 1 species